UUCACAUCUGUUCUGUGUGUUUGUGUCUACAGGUGAACUCUCUGCCAGUUCUCUGGCUCGUUGAUGGGCAGCUAGUGGUCCCUCCUGGAUACCUGAUGCCGGUGCACGACCCCCGCCACGCUGCAACCACCCAGAGCGCCUGCUGCUCACAGAAGAGGAAGCGAGAUGACCACAGCGCGCCGCCAUACGU